UAAUAGUGUAUAUUAAAGUUGUUGCAGUUAAAAAGCUCGUAGUUGAAUGUUGGUGUCGAACGAGCGGUCAGCUUCGGCUGUACUGCUCUCUCGACUCCUUCCUUCUGUGGACUACGUCGCACUUUACUGUGUGGCGCUAGGACGCAGAUCGUUUACUGUGAAAAAAUUAGAGUGUUCAAAGCAGGCCGUACGCUUGAAUACAUUAGCAUGGAAUAAUGGAAUAGGACGUCGGGCCUAUUUUGUUGGUUCUAGGACCGUCGUAAUGAUUAAUAGGGACAGUUGGGGCCGUUUAUAUUCCGUAGUCAGAGGUGAAAUUCUUGGAUUUACGGAAGAUAGACUACUGCGAAAGCAUUCGGCAAGGAUGUUUUCGUUAA
rnacentral:rRNA from 1 species